AUUGAGCGCUGGCGGCAGGCCUAACACAUGCAAGUCGAGCGGAUGAAGGGAGCUUGCUCCUGGAUUCAGCGGCGGACGGGUGAGUAAUGCCUAGGAAUCUGCCUGGUAGUGGGGGAUAACGUCCGGAAACGGGCGCUAAUACCGCAUACGUCCUGAGGGAGGAAGUGGGGGAUCUUCGGACCUCACGCUAUCAGCUGAGCCUAGGUCGGAUUAGCUAGUUGGUGGGGUAAAGGCCUACCAAGGCGACGAUCCGUAACUGGUCUGAGAGGAUGAUCAGUCACACUGUAACUGAGACACGUUCCAGACUCCUACGGGAGGCAGCAGUGGGGAAUAUUGGACAAUGGGCGAAAGCCUGAUCCAGCCAUGCCGCGUGUGUGAAGAAGGUCUUCGGAUUGUAAAGCACUUUAAGUUGGGAGGAAGGGCAGUAAGUUAAUACCUUGCUGUUUUGACGUUACCAACAGAAUAAGCACCGGCUAACUUCGUG
rnacentral:rRNA from 1 species